UCAAUAAAUUUGUUAGAAAUAAAUUCUUUAUCACAUUAAAAACAAUAGAAAUAAAAUAACCCAUUAAGAUCUUAUUCCUAAUUAUCUUUUGUUAUCUUCUUCCAUAGAAGAACCUCAUGAAUUGAGAAUAAAUGAUAUCUUUCAUAAAUUAUACGGACAAAUAGGUGGAAAUUAUGUACCUUAUGAAAAUAAAAUAAACAUUAAUUAAAAAAAAACCUAAAUUUUAAUGAAAAAUAAAAGAUAAUUGUGUCAAAUAAUAAAAAAAAUAAAAAAUAUUAUUGAUCCAUAUUUAAUACGAAUCAAUUUCAUCUCUUAAACAUCUUCUCUACUUUAAUUCUCAUUUUUAAAAGAUACCAAGUACGCCAUGCAGUUUCAAUAAUUGUUGUUGAACCAAAAAGAAGAUUUUGAAUAAUUGCUGUUGAACAAAAAAAGGAAAGAGUUUCAAUAAUUGCAAAAGUUUCUACGUAUCCAUCUAUCUAUCUAUCUUUUUUCUUUCUUUCUAUUUAUCCAUCAAUCUAUCAGUCUAUUUAAAUAUCAUGAUGGAAAGAGAAUCAUUAUCAAGAUCUUGGAAGGUUUCCCUUCAUCAUGUUCAUAGAGAAGCAAAUCAAGCAGGAUUUGAAUUGCUGGCACAUUCCCAAUUGGUUUUCACGUUCUGAAUGGAUAGAAUACUUAUCUUUGCAAGAUGUUGUCGGAAUAGCCACUAGCAAGAGUGUCGUGUUUGGUAGCUUUAUAUAAAGCACUUUCUUUGUACGAAAAAUAAAAUGAUGGGGAGGGGAUAGAUAGAUAGACAGUGUUAAACAGUAAACUUAGCCAUGGCAAUUAAAUUUCUUUCGCCUAUGUCUCAUCCUAGCCUUAAUAAGCCCAAGCCCUAGCUAGUCACAUAUUGUGCAAAGCUUUAGCCAUUUUCUUCCAUUUAAUAGAAGCAGAUUUCCUCAAGGUUUCAUAUUUGGAGCAGAAUCUGCUACUUGCCAGUCUGAAAUACCAGCACAUGCAGAUGGCAGAGGACCAAGUGCAUGUGAUAUUAUUGUUAAAUAGCAUCCAGGUCAUUUUUGAAGGACACCAUCAAUAAUCGAGGGAAAUACGUGUGAUUACGGACCAAAA